GAUGCGGCCUGUCGGGCUCCCAAGAUGGCGGUUUGCGUAGCGGUGAUCGCCAAGGAGGCCAGCGCACAUGGGGUGGAUCCUUGUCACUUCAGCCGCCGUCAUCCUUUUCUUGCAGAAUUACCCUCUUUACAUCCGCAGUGUCCCCACGGAGAACGAGCUCAAGUUUCACUACAUGGUGCACACGUCCCUGGACGUGGUGGACGAGAAGAUCUCAGCAAUGGGGAAGGCCCUGGUGGACCAGAGGGAGCUCUACCUGGGCCUGCUGUACCCCACAGAGGACUACAAGGUGUAUCCUCGCACCUGGCAGUGGCUUCGAGUCUGGGGAUUCCCUGCAGUCGCAGGGCUCUGCACGGUGAUGCCGUGGUUGGGGCUGUCACAGAGUCCCCGUGUUAAGAGCGUGUUCCCUAACCAGCUGUGCAGUUACGGCUACGUGACCAACUCCAAGGUGAAGUUUGUCAUGGUGGUGGAUUCCUCCAACACGGCGCUCAGAGACAACGAGAUUCGCAGUAUGUUCCGGAAGCUGCACAACUCCUACACAGACGUGAUGUGCAACCCCUUCUAUAACCCGGGGGACCGCAUUCAGUCCAGGGCCUUUGAUGGCAUGGUGACAUCCAUGAUGAUACAGGUCUGUUGAGGAGAGCUCUGCAGCCCGUGGCUGGAAGGAAUCGUUCUGUGCAUAACUGUGUUGUUCAGAUGUAUCUUUAUUUCCACUUGUCUCCUCUUGGGUGUCAUGGAUGUGCCGCUGGCGGCAGGGCCUCAUGCACGGUGCCUGUUGACUAAAGGCCAGACAGCCAAGAGGAUCCUGCGUGUCUUGGCUUUCUCUGGGUAUAGCUGAGAAAGUGUGGGUCAGAGCCCUGGACACCCACAUGGGCUGCUUGGGCCUGAAAUCCACAGGAAAGGAGGGACUCAAGGGCCCACUCUCCUCACAGUGGCCACGCAGAAGGGAUUAAGAAGAUACAUCUGAAAAGGGACCAAUUCCUUGGGAUAGAAGCCUGUCUGCAGGUCCUUCCACAAAAGCAAAAUGCACAAUGAAUGCAUCAAGACCAAUGCACAGCCUCGCCAAGGAGGAGACUGGCACAAGGUACGGCGCGGCAGGAGCUGGUGCUUCAUAAAGUUCAGCUCCAGGAACUACGUCUGGGAGGCGUCCCUCUCCUGCAGCCCCCACCUGCACAUGAUCCAGGCCUGGCUCGGCCCUGAGCCACCCAGCAGCCUUGGCAAGGUCCCUGCCACUCAGCCCCUCCUACCCACAUUCUCCAGGGGCCAGUGGUGGUGCGUGUGUGCGUGCGCGCGCGCGUGCACGUGUGCACAUGAAAACAGAAAUCUAUUCUCUCACGUUUCUGGAGGCCAGAGUCAGAAAUCAAGGUGAUGGCAGGGCCGGUUCGUUCUGCAGGCUCUGAGGGAGGGUCUUUUCAGCCUCCCUAGCUUCUGACGGCUGCCAGCGACUGCUGGAGUUCCUUGGCUUACGGACGCAUCACCGCAACCUCUGCCUCUGUCUCCACGUCACGUUCUCCGUGUGCCGGUGUGUCUCGUACCCAGUGUGUGUCACUGGGUUUAGGGCCACCCAGGUGAUCCAGGGAGAUCUCCAGGUCGUUAGCUUAAUCACAUGUGCAAAAACCCCUUUUCCAAAUAAGAUCACAUCCACAGGUACUGGAGAUUAGGAUGUGGACAUAUUUUGGGGGGGAUUUCGUUCACCCCACCACAAGGGCCAGUGCUGACCCCAGAUCACAAGCGGAGUGUGAACCUGGCCAGAUGGACACGCAGAUGGAGAGCACAGGCGCGCCCUCCCGAGAAAACACUGGUGCUGGAGAGGGGACACUGGGGACUGGGGACCGUCCACCUGUGGAUAGCUUAAGGACCUGAUAAUCAAAAAAGUACAAGGUGGGCUUCCCUGGUGGCGCAGUGGUUGAGAGUACGCCUGCCGAUGCAGGGGACACGGGUUCGUGCCCCGGUCCGGGAGGAUCCCACAUGCCGCGGAGCGGCUGGGCCCGUGAGCCAUGGCCACUGAGCCUGCGUGUCCGGAGCCUGUGCUCCGCAACGGGAGAGCCGACAACAGUGAGAGGCCUGCGUACCGCAAAAAUAAAUAAUAAAUAAAUAAAUAGUACACAGCAAAGAGGGUUGCUUUAGAAAAGCCCAGGCUGAGAUCUGUUAGUGGUUAUUUAAGGCCAGGACCGCGCGUGUCUGCAGCUGGGCCCCAGAGCUU